UCAAAUCAUGCUGAACACACUGGUUCUCAUUUGAUCACUGAAGUUAAGCAAUGUUGAACUUGGUCAGUACUUAGGGGACCACUUAGGAACAUGGGGUACUGUAA